ACGCCACAGUGUGCUUUGGCCACGUGUCUGGAAAGAGGGAUUAAUCACGAUUCAUCCGUUGGAGUUAAGGUUGCUGGUUGUGGAAUUUGGAGCUGCGGAGAUUUGAGCUGUGCUCCAAAAGUGCAUGUUGAAGGUUAUCACCACAGUUCCACUGCUGUCCACAUUCAUGAGCAGUCUUGACCAGUACUCUGACCAGUUGAUGAAGAUUCUACGAAAAAAAGGAGGGGAAACAGCGCGGCGG